rnacentral:rRNA from 1 species
AACGCGAAGAACCUUACCAGGUCUUGACAUCCUUCUGACCGAUCCUUAGCCGGAUCUUUCCUUCGGGACAGAAGAGACAGGUGGUGCAUGGUUGUCGUCAGCUCGUGUCGUGAGAUGUUGGGUUAAGUCCCGCAACGAGCGCAACCCUUGCCUUUAGUUGCCAUCAAGUAAUGUUGGGCACUCUAGAGGGACUGCCGGUGACAAACCGGAGGAAGGUGGGGAUGACGUCAAAUCAUCAUGCCCCUUACGAUCUGGGCUACACACGUGCUACAAUGGUCGGUACAACGGGCAGCGAAGUCGAGAGAUGGAGCGAAUCCUAAAAAGCCGAUCCCAGUUCGGAUUGUGGGCUGAAACUCGCCCACAUGAAGUUGGAGUUGCUAGUAAUCGCGGAUCAGAAUGCCGCGGUGAAUGCGUUCCCGGGUCUUGUACACACCG